UGGUGAUCGAGUGGUUGCUUCG
rnacentral:siRNA from 1 species